rnacentral:rRNA from 1 species
UACGUAGGGUGCGAGCGUUGUCCGGAAUUAUUGGGCGUAAAGAGCUCGUAGGCGGCUCGUCGCGUCGACCGUGAAACCCCGCAGCUUAACUGCGGGCCUGCGGUUGAUACGGGCGGGCUAGAGUUCGGUAGGGGAGACUGGAAUUCCUGGUGUAGCGGUGAAAUGCGCAGAUAUCAGGAGGAACACCGGUGGCGAAGGCGGGUCUCUGGGCCGAUACUGACGUGAGGAGCGAAAAGCAUGGGGGAGCGAAACAGGG